AUACUUACCUGGACGGGGUCAAUGGGCGAUCAGGAAGGUUCAUGGCCUAGGUAGGUGGCCUCCAUUGCACUUUUGGAGGGGUGCCUGCCUAACAUCUUCCCAAGAGGAAGAGUGUACGUCAUAAUUUGUGAUAGCUGGGGCCUGCGUUCGCGCGGCCCCUAU
rfam:Spinacia oleracea cultivar SynViroflay scaffold77755.con0002.1, whole genome shotgun sequence.